GACGAACGCUGGCGGCGUGCCUAACACAUGCAAGUCUACGAGAAACGGGUAGCAAUAUCCGGAGUACAGUGGCGCACGGGUGAGUAACGCGUAGGCAACUUGCCUUCAAGACGGGGAUAAUCUCGCGAAAGCGGGCCUAAUACCCGAUGAUAUCCGGCAACAGCAUUGUUGUCGGAUCAAAAACCUCACAAGGGUGCUUGAAGAUAGGCCUGCGUCCCAUUAGGUAGUUGGCGGGGUAACAGCCCACCAAGCCUGCGAUGGGUAGCUGGUCUGAGAGGAUGAUCAGCCACACUGGAACUGAGACACGGUCCAGACUCCUACGGGAGGCAG
rnacentral:rRNA from 1 species